rnacentral:rRNA from 1 species
GAGACCCGUACCCACAGUUGCCAGCGGCUGCUCCGGCAGGCUGGGUACACUAUGGGGACCGCCUCUGCUAAAGAGGAGGAAGGAGCGGGCGACGGUAGGUCAGUAUGCCCCGAAUUAUCCGGGCUACACGCGGGCUACAAUGGGUGGGACAAUGGGUAUCGACACCGAAAGGUGAAGGCAAUCUCUUAAACCCAUUCUUAGUUCGGAUUGAGGGCUGAAACUCGCCCUCAUGAAGCUGGAAUCCGUAGUAAUCGCGUUUCAACAUAGCGCGGUGAAUAC